rnacentral:rRNA from 1 species
AGACGUCUACAUUAGAUACCCCCGUAGUCCCAGCCGUAAACUAUGCGCGUUAGGUGUAUCGGUGACCACGAGUCACCGAGGUGCCGAAGGGAAACCGUGAAACGUGCCGCCUGGGAAGUACGGUCGCAAGGCUGAAACUUAAAGGAAUUGGCGGGGAGCACCACAACGGGUAGAGCCUGCGGUUUAAUUGGACUCAACGCCGGGAAGCUCACCGGAUAAGACAGCGGAAUGAUUGCCGGGCUGAAGACUCUGCAUGACUAGCUG